AUAAAGGGGCUGAAGGGCUACAAACAAUUGAGCCUCUCGCAGUCUUCAUUUAGAGCACAAAGGAAGCAGCCCUUUGACUUUGCAUGGGGAUUCUGAUCUGAGAGUUUGGGUCAUCAAUGUUGGUGCGAAUACGUGCUUGAUGCUGUUGAUCUGCUUGAGGAAUAAUGGAGGGAAGGAGGAUACAUUUGGCUAACAGCUUCUGGUUGUAGGAUUUGUGUUCGCAAAC